GCCGCGCUGGAGCGGAUGCUCGGCCGCUAUGCGUGAGCGGCCGGCGGCACGCCGGCGCACGCGGGUGUUCCCCGCCCGCGGGGCG
rnacentral:tRNA from 1 species